rnacentral:tRNA from 1 species
GGGCCGAUGGUGGAAACAGGGAUACACGGCGCUCUCAAAAAGCGCUGCUUCGGCAUGAGAGUUCGAAUCUCUCUCGGCCCA